GGGGGCGAAAGGACUCGACGGGGAACGGAAAGCACAGGUGGCACGCCGAGCACUCCCGGAAGCUCGCUAAUCCCCCGGGAACAAAAACAAACGCCAACUCUGAUUUGGCUCUCGCUGCCUGAUAGCGCAGCGCGCCUGCCCGCCCUUGCCCGUGGAGGCGGUCCCAGGUGUCAUUCGACACGGGCUGGUCGAGACGUCGCCGGCCCAGCGGCGUCCGGCAAGAUCAACGGGCUGGCAAUCCGGGCACCUGCCCUUCGAUGUCCGGAGCGCGAGAUCCUGACGAAGCGGCUAAGCGUGUAGAAGCCUGAUGUGGCCCCUCCUCGGACGCGGGUUCGAUUCCCGCCGCCUCCACCA
rnacentral:tmRNA from 1 species